GACGAACGCUGGCGGCGUGCUUAACACAUGCAAGUCGAACGUGAUUUUUGUGGAAAUUCUUUCGGGAAUGGAAAUGAAAUGAAAGUGGCGAACGGGUGAGUAACACGUGAGCAACCUACCUUACACAGGGGGAUAGCCGUUGGAAACGACGAUUAAUACCGCAUGAGACCACAGAAUCGCAUGAUAUAGGGGUCAAAGAUUUAUCGGUGUAAGAAGGGCUCGCGUCUGAUUAGCUAGUUGGAAGGGUAAAGGCCUACCAAGGCGACGAUCAGUAGCCGGUAUGAGAGGAUGAACGGAAACAUUGGAACUGAGACAAGGUCCAAACUCCUACGGGAGGCAGCAGUGGGGAAUAUUGCACACUGGGGGGAACCCUGAUGCAGCGACGCCGCGUGAGCGAAGAAGGUUUUAGAAUCGUAAAGCUCUGUCCUAUGAGAAGAUAAUGACGGUAUCAUAGGAGGAAGCCCCGGCUAAAUACGG
rnacentral:rRNA from 1 species